rnacentral:ncRNA from 1 species
AAUACUGAUUGAAACAACCGUCGUAUAAUUUUGGGGAUAUGGCCCAUGAGUUUCUACCGGACUACCGUAAAUGGUCUGACUACGCUGGUGAUUGACAGAGGA